ACUGCCGCCGGACGGUGCGGGUCGUGAGGAACAGGAUUCCCCACAGACGGGCCCGACCGAGAAUCGCCAGGGUUUACAGGGAGCCCCGGCGGAUUCGCUCAGGCGAAGGAG
ncrna:unclassified sequences Actinomyces-1 RNA